AGACUGACGGAGGAGGGCGAGCAUCCGGCAGCGUUGGUGGGUCAGCAGUGAAAGUGGAGUCGCUCACCUAUACCUGUCCGGCGCCUCGUAAUUAAUCAAGGUACAGAAACUGACCCCCCCCCCCCCUUCCACCACCACCAUCACCACACCGCACGUAAGGGCCUCGAAGGGGACCCAUAUGUACCACCCUGAGACAUCCCCUGACGCGAGGCUGCCGCAGGAGACGCCGCCGCAGUGAAGAGAUGGCUCUGGAAAAAAUAAUUGAUUAAAUAGUCUGCUUGCGUGGACGUCUCAGUGAGUGUCACGGUAAGUAAAGUUCAGUGAAGGUGUCGAUAGGAAGAGUAAAGAUAAAAGAAAAAGGUGUAAAAACAGCGAUCGAGGUGUUAUUGAGAUAAACUGAAGUAGAUGUGUCGAUAUAAAUGCUGAAGUGAUUCGAUAGAUAAAUUACAGUGAAUGUGUUCAUAGAAAAACUAUUAAUAAACAAAAAAAAAAGUGAGAGACGUGUUGCUAAGACAAAACUGAAGUGAAUUUGUCGAUAAAAUUGAACUCCAGUGAAAGUGUCGAUUAAUGAAAAUAGAAAAGAAGAAAAUUAAAGAAAAAAGCGACCGUGUUACUGAGAUAAACUGAAGUGGAUAGACAGAUAGAUAGAGAUGCUUAAGUGUCUUGAUGGAUAAAUAAGUGUGAAUUGGUUGAUGGAAAAACAAUAUAAAUAAACGAAGAAAAUCACAAAAUAAAUGAGAGACGUGUUGCUCAGAUAAACUAAGGUGGAUGUGUCUAUAGAUAAAGAAAAUAUAGAAAAAGAAGAAAAUGUGAGAAAAAAGUAAUAAAGGUGUUACUAGAUAAACUGAAGUGGAUGUGUCGAUAGAUAAAGAAUUAUAGAAAAAGUUGAUAAAUAUGUUACUAGAUAAACUACAGUGAAUGUGUCAGUAGAAAAAAACAAUAAAACUCAAAGGAGAAAAAACAAAGUAAAAUACAGAUACACGAAUUAUGAAAAGACGAUAGAUAAACUCCAAUGAAAGUGUCGAUAGAAAAAAUAAAUAUAACAAACAAAAAAGCGAGAGGAAAAAUUUGAUACACAAAGGAAAAAAAACUAACAUAGAAGAAAAAACGAAAAACCAAAACAAAUACAAACAAAUUAGCGAAAAAGAACAACAAAUAAUUAACAAAAAGUAGAGAAAAUAAGAAAAGAAAACCAAAAACACGAACGAAAAAGGAAAAAGACAGAGCAAGAAAGAGGAGGAGAAAAAGAGAAGGAAGGAAGAGGAAAAGGACAAUGAACAGGGAGGAAAGGAACAAGGAGAUAAAUAAGAAGAGGAAGAAGAAGAAGAAAAAGAGGAAGGAAGGAGGAGAGGAGACAGUGAAUAGGUCCACAGUGUUUAUAGCUUAAGUAGUUUCAUCUCCCGCUUCACACAAACCACAGGAUGAAGCGUGGGUCUGUGUCAAGCCCUCACACAACACCGAGCGAGUGGUGAUGAUGGAGGAUGAGCGAGUGUGAUGUUGACUGAAUGAUGUGUAUGGAUGGUGAGGAUUUGGUGAUGAUUUUAGUGGUUAUUAAGAAUAGAGUGGAGAAGAAAUAGUUGAAAUGGUGAUAAUGCUCGUGAUAAUGAAGGAUGGUGAUGGAGAAAUGGUGCGAUGGUUGUGAUGUUGAAUGGUGUAGUAAUUGCCACUGAUCUGUGUAUAUAUAUCUUUUUUAUGUAUAUGUGUAUGUAGAUAUUGCUUUCCAGGAUUGCUAUGUAUAUAUGUGCGUAUAAAAAAAUAGUUCUAUAUAUGUAGGGUAGUGUGUGGGUGUGCGUGUGGGUGGGUGUGUGUGAGGGCGUUCAGGGUUCUCCUCACGAGCUUCCUGCGAGUUGUGUGUGUUGCGAGUUGCUUCACUCACCACCACCACCACCACCAUCACUACCACCAUGAAGACG